AGAAGGGCUUCCACACGGCGACGUUUGGGGGCCUUUUUCUUUUGC
rfam:Rhizobiales bacterium 63-22 SCNpilot_cont_500_bf_scaffold_128, whole genome shotgun sequence.